rnacentral:rRNA from 1 species
AGAGUUUGAUCCUGGCUCGAAGGACGAACGCUGGCGGCGUGCUUAACACAUGCAAGUCGAACGGAAAGGCCCAGCUUGCUGGGUACUCGAGUGGCGAACGGGUGAGUAACACGUGGGUGAUCUGCCCCAAACUUCGGGAUAAGCCUGGGAAACUGGGUCUAAUACCGGAUAUGACCUGCUCCUGCAUGGGGGUUGGUGGAAAGCUUUUGCGGUUUGGGAUGGGCCCGCGGCCUAUCAGCUUGUUGGUGGGGUAAUGGCCUACCAAGGCGACGACGGGUAGCCGACCUGAGAGGGUGAUCGGCCACACUGGGACUGAGACACGGCCCAGACUCCUACGGGAGGCAGCAGUGGGGAAUAUUGCACAAUGGGCGCAAGCCUGAUGCAGCGACGCCGCGUGAGGGAUGACGGCCUUCGGGUUGUAAACCUCUUUCGCCAGGGACGAAGCGCAAGUGACGGUACCUGGAGAAGAAGCACCGGCCAACUACGUG